rnacentral:tRNA from 1 species
GCCUCGGUGGUGUAAUGGAACGCACGGCAGACCGGAUAUCUGUAAGUGCGGGUACGAGUCCCGCCUGAGGUU